GGCGCCUUGGCCGAGUGGUCUAAGGCGAUUGAUUAGAAAUCAAUUCUCCAUUGGAGGCGUAGGUUCGAGUCCUACAGGCGUCG
rnacentral:tRNA from 1 species